GAGACAAUCAACGAAGUCGUUGCUAGCGAUUACAGGCUCAGGCAUAAUACUUUUACAUCCAGCUUUUUCUGAUUUUCUUUUAAGUUACAUUAUACGAAAUACUUGUGACUGCACUGCGCAUGUGUCUUUGAUAGUUCAAUUAAGGCUCCAUAACUGAUGGAAGCCCUUGGAAACUGGUAAUUUGAGUCAUUUGCAGUUGAUGUUCCAGAAGGAAACGCCAAGGUUGAGACAUGUUACUUUCGGAUGCUUUUCCUUUAAGGCCUAUUUUUUUUUUUUUAAUUUAUAGCUUUUAAUAUCAUUUUAAAUUUGUCCGAAAGUAUCUUUUUUACCAAUAAUGUUUGUAAAUCAAGAAAUAGUUAAAAUUCCGCUAGGUGAAAAUACAAGUUUGGAAUUUUAUUUUUGAGUGCAGACGAAUUUUAUUUUUUAAUUGUGGCUGAGUUAGGUAUAGGUAAAUCUAUACUGAAACAGUAAAACUCACUCAUUGCCAUCCGUAAGAUUGCUAUAAGGUUAAAUAAAUAAAAGAAAUUAAAAGAAAAUUCUGUCUGAGGAUACAAAUAAAAUCGGAGCCUUAACAAUCUUCGUUGGAAAAGAAAAGAAGAAAAAAAGAAAGAAACACCAUACGCAUCCUUUACUCCAAUUAAUUUUUCUUUUAAAAGUCUAUUGUAGGUGUAAAUUACGGCACCUCCACCAAUAGGGGUGCGAUCUAAACGUAAUAUACAUUAUAGAGAUUGCACGUGCAUCAUCAAUCCUGCAUUCAGCGCUUCUCAUGUUUUCUUUCUUUCUUAUGUGUAAUGAACGUUGAUGUCCAUGUGCUCCCACAGUUUUAAGUAAUUUUUUUGCUUAUCAAAAAAAAAAAAAAAAUUGUUUUUUUGAAUUAACUAUCCAAGUCCGAUAUAUCCGAGUGGGUAAUUGCACAUUAUCUAUUCCCUGAUGUCACAUAUUUUUGUCUUUCACUGUCCUUAAAUUACAAUGAAAUGGAAUAAUAUUGGCAACAGUAGAAAAUAUAAUAAGUAAAAAAUUUA
rnacentral:lncRNA from 1 species